ensembl:lncRNA
GUAAGCAUUCAGGGUGGUAGGCUUUUUCUAGCACAGUUGAAGUACUUACCUUCAUAAGAAACAAGUUGUUUUUUACACCCAUGAUGCUGAGGUUAUAUUUCUAAUGAUUUACCUUUUUCUCUUAGAUCAAGCUUUCUGAUUCAUCAGCCAAGGGAUGAAAAAAGAAAGAGUUAAUCUAUGGGCUGGAGCAGCUGUCCGAGAGGAAAAGAAAAAAAGUGCGACCACUUCUUUUUUUCUGGGCAGCUGAUUUGGCUCUGGAAACACGGACCAUCUUGUGGAGAAGGCUCAAUCAAAGACCAAAAAGCUAUCAGAUGCCUCAGUCACCUCCCUUUUACCUGUAUUGUGACUUGUGCCACUACGCAACGGUUGCUCUACCGGAUGGCGUCGUAACUAUUCCCUCUUUGGGUGCAGUUCAAUAACUGCACCAACUUCCUG